rnacentral:rRNA from 1 species
GAUGAACGCUGGCGGCGUGCUUAACACAUGCAAGUCGAACGGAAAGGCUCCUGCUUGCAGGGGUACUCGAGUGGCGAACGGGUGAGUAACACGUGGGUGAUCUGCCCUGCACUUCGGGAUAAGCCUGGGAAACUGGGUCUAAUACCGGAUAGGACGAUGGUUUGGAUGCCAUUGUGGAAAGUUUUUUCGGUGUGGGAUGAGCUCGCGGCCUAUCAGCUUGUUGGUGGGGUAAUGGCCUACCAAGGCGUUGACGGGUAGCCGGCCUGAGAGGGUGUACGGCCACAUUGGGACUGAGAUACGGCCCAGACUCCUACGGGAGGCAGCAGUGGGGAAUAUUGCACAAUGGGCGCAAGCCUGAUGCAGCGACGCCGCGUGGGGGAUGACGGCCUUCGGGUUGUAAACUCCUUUCGCUAGGGACGAAGCGCAAGUGACGGUACCUGGAGAAGAAGCACCGGCUAACUACGUG